UUCUGUAAGAGUUUGAUCCUAGCUCAGGAUCAACGCUUGCGGCGUGGAUAAGGCAUGCAAGUCGAGGGGGUGCAUCACUGUGCGCACGAAACGUGCGCAGUUCCAAGUCACAAGUCACAAGUCACAAGUAAAUGCAUCUGUAUUUCACUUGAAACUUGCUACUUGAAACUUGCUACUGCGAUUGCGUCUUCGCGAACGCAGUGAUGCAUCACCGGCAGACGAGGUAGUAACACGUAGGAACGAACCCCGUAGUCAGGGAUAACCCAUCGAAAGAUGGGAUAAUACUUGAUACACUCGCGAGAGGAAAGAUUUAUCGCUAUGGGAUCGGCCUGCGACGUAUCAGCUAGUUGGUAGGGUAAUGGCCUACCAAGGCAAUGACGCGUAGGGGAGGUGAGAGCCUGACCCCCACCGAUGGGACUGCGACACGGCCCAUACACCUACGGGUGGCUGCAGUCGAGAAUCUUCCACAAUGGACGAAAGUCUGAUGGAGCGACGCCGCGUGACUGAUGAAGUCUUUCGGGAUGUAAAGGUCUUUUAUGAGGGAUGACAUAGCGACAGUACCUCAUGAAUAAGGGGCUGCUAAUCUCGUGCCAGCAGCAGCGGUAAUACGAGAGCCCCGAGCGUUAUCCGGAAUUACUGGGCGUAAAGUGUGCGUAGGUGGCGUAGUUAGUCUCCUCACAAAUCCGUCGGCUCAACCGACGAACUAGAGGGGAAACGGCUAUGCUUGAGUAUGCAAGAGGUUCGUGGAACUCAUGGUGUAGGGGUGAAAUCCGUUGAUAUCAUGGGGAACACCAAAUGCGAAGGCAGCGAACUGGUGCAUUACUGACGCUGAGGCACGAAAGCGUGGGUAGCGAAUGGGAUUAGAUACCCCAGUAGUCCACGCCCUAAACGAUGUUCUCUCGCUUUUCGGAGUAUCGACCCUCUGAGAGGCUAAGCUAACGCGAUAAGAGAACCGCCUGGGUAGUACGAUCGCAAGAUUAAAACUCAAAGGAAUAGACGGGGACUUGCACAAGCGGUGGAUUAUGUGGUUUAAUUCGACGGUACACGAAAAACCUUACCAAGGCUAGAUAUUCUAGAGAAAGACUUAGGAAACUAAUUAACUCCGCAAGGACUCUAGAACAGGUGAUGCAUGGCCGUCGUCAGUUCGUGGUUUGAACUGUUCCCUUAAGUGGGGUAACGAACGCAACCCCUGUCGUCUGUUACAAGUGUCAGGCGAGACUGCCCAGCCCUUUGCGCACAAAGUGCGCAGUAGCAAGCAACAAGUCGCAAGUCACAAGUAGUAAAUGCGCAAUGCAUUUUACUUGAAACUUGAAACUUGAAACUUGAGACUGCC
rnacentral:rRNA from 1 species